CCUACGGGGGGCUGCAGUGAGGAAUAUUGGUCAAUGGGCGCGAGCCUGAACCAGCCAAGUCGCGUGAGGGAAGACGGCCCUACGGGUUGUAAACCUCUUUUGCCGGGGAGCAACGGGCGCCACGUGUGGCGCCACUGAGAGUACCCGGAGAAAAAGCAUCGGCUAACUCCGUGCCAGCAGCCGCGGUAAUACGGAGGAUGCGAGCGUUAUCCGGAUUUAUUGGGUUUAAGGGGUGCGUAGGCGGAGCGUUAAGUCAGUGUGAAAAUUGAGGGGCUCAACCCCUUCCCGCCAUUGAAACUGGCGCUCUUGAGUGGAAGAGAAGUAGGCGGAAUGCGUGGUGUAGCGGUGAAAUGCAUAGAUAUCACGCAGAACCCCGAUUGCGAAGGCAGCAUGCCGGCUUCCUACUGACGCUGAAGCACGAAAGCGUGGGGAGCGAACAGGAUUAGAUACCCUGGUAGUC
rnacentral:rRNA from 1 species